GACGAACGCUGGCGGCGUGCUUAACACAUGCAAGUCGAACGGAAAGGCCUCUUUCGGGGGGUACUCGAGUGGCGAACGGGUGAGUAACACGUGAGUAACCUGCCCUUCACUUUGGGAUAACUUCAGGAAACUGGGGCUAAUACCUGAUAGGAGCUCCUGCUGCAUGGUGGGGGUUGGAAAGUUUCGGCGGUUGGGGGUGGACUCGCGGCGUAUCAGCUUGUUGUUGGGGUAGUGGCUUACCAAGGCCUUGACGGGUAGCCGGCCUGGGAGGGUGACCGGCCAUAUUGGGACUGAGGUACGGCCCAGACUCCUACGGGAGGCAGCAGUGGGGAAUAUUGCACAAUGGGUGGAAGCCUGAUGCAGCAACGCCGUGUGCGGGAUGACGGCCUUCGGGUUGUAAACCGCUUUCGCUCAUGACGAAGCUUUGUGUGACGGUAGUGGGUAAAGAAGCACCGGCUAACUACGUG
rnacentral:rRNA from 1 species